ACCUCUUAGUAUUUUAGUGUUUAGUGAUUUUGAUUUAGAGUUUAUAGUUUACCCAAGGGUUUAGGAUUUUGUGAUCUAGGAAGGAACUUGUUUAAUUAUGUGAUCUAGACUUAAAAAAAUCUUUUGAUUAAAAGCUUGCCACUAGAUUAGAUCUUAGUCACUUGAAAUCAAACACAUAACCCCAUAAAUCCUAUUUUCUCUUAUUGAUUGAAAGUUUUAGUUAUUGUUCUGUCUUUCUCAGUUAUUUGAUUACUAUCACUCUACUACUUUUGCACUUAGAUUAAGCAUUCACUGUAUUCUCAUUCUUUCAAAAUGACUUAGAAUUGGAUUGACACUCUAUCUAUAUUACUUUGAUAUUCUGAUCCUAAAAAGUCCAUAUUAAUAAUGAUGAUGAUCAAAUUAAUAAAAUAUGUUUUUAAUUUAUGCGUAAUUGUAUAUUAACAAAUUUAAUCUAAUUCUUUGUUAAGAGUAAUACAGAUUUUAAACACUCUAAAUUUUAACGUGAGAACAGAAAAAUCACUUUACAAAUAAUAAAAUAAAUAUUUGUGAAUUAUUUGCCAAUUUUUCAGAAAUUAUCACAAUAAAUAAUUUUGAUUUUCCUAAAAAAAUUAUCUUAAAAGAUAUAUUGUUCAUUCUAACUUAUCUGAUCGAUUUAGUAUUACUAAACCAAAUAUGGUAUAAACAUAUAUAUAAUAUUUUAAUAUUGCUAAAGUAAAUAUAAUAUAAAUUUAAUUAUGAUAUUAUUGUUGGAAUUUUCUUAAUUAUCUUCUAGAUAAUGAUAAAUUAUUAUCUAAAUCACUAAUAAUAUUUUUUAAGAUUAAUAAUUAGAUAUAAAAUAUGACUAAACCUAAAAUUAUGGAAAAUAUGAAAAAUCAUCAAAUUUACUUCUCAAAUAAUAAUAGUACUAGGUGAUAAUCCGCACCUUGAAUGGAGUGAAUACCUAAAAUAAUGACAUGUCUGUAAUUUAAAAUCAGUUAUUUAUUUGCAUUUUUUUCGUUUUUUUCUCUACGUAUAAGAAUAUGUUUAAAAUUUAAUAAAUCAUAAAAAAGACACAAAAUCUUACAAUACUAAAAUGACUUAAUGCUCAGCUAUCAGCAUGUCCACGUCACCUUAAAAAUUCCACCAAACAUAUUUCAUUUGUUUUGCCAGACAAGCUAAGCCAAAAAAGAAAAAAAAUCUCUGCACCCUAAUUGGCUAUGCGUUUUCCUCUUCGUCUCUCUUGCUUCCAUAAGAAACAAAGCAUCACCCUCCGUUACACAUCGCCGGAAUCACUCACCUUCCUCUGUUAUUGCCAUCUACCAUUUAGGAACAAUAAUGUAUCGAACCGUCUUCAACUUCUCCUCUCUCUCCAACCUAACUUUAUAAACGAAUGGCGAGAUUGAUUUAAUUUUAAGUGGUUUGCCUAAGCUACUUUGAUCGAGAAAUUGUCUUGGAUCAUAAUUGGUGAAGAGCGAGAGAGAAGUUAAAUCUCUGUAAUCGUCAGUGUUUUGUUAGACGAUGCCGUUGAGGAUGAAGAUCCAGUCAAUCAAUAUCAAUUCACAUGUACUCGACCGGCUGCACCAUGCUGAGAUGUGGUCAUGAGUUCUGCACAAAAUGUGCGUUAUACCUAAGCACCACAAACAUAACAACGUCAAAGACAUCACAAGCAACACACACCAGGCUCAGUCCCAUGCCCUCUCCGUCGCUACAGCAUUGUCUCUUUCACCAAACUUUCCCAUACAACAACAACAAGAACAGCAAUAUCAUCAAGAACAAGUAUGCCGAAUGCAGCCACGGACGUAUACCACAAGUUGUUCCUAAAAAUAACUCGAAUAAAUAGUCAAUGGAAACUCCUUCAGAAGCUUUUGUGGCUUCUACUCUAUACGAAGUUGAAGGGGAUAGAGUUGGUGUACCUCUUUUGAGUGGGCUAUAUGAGGUACCAUCGUUCCUUCCAGUGUUUUAAAAAUUUCAUGUAAAUGUUAACAUUUUGAACCUUUAGAGUCCUUAUAUCCAAUGUAUAUUUCUGUUCUGACCAAGGAACCAGAAUGCUAUUCGUGAACUUGGUGAGGAGACAUUGUUUCCCGUGUUCUGAAAUGGAUAUAAACUACAAAAGAACCUAAAUUUUUGGCUGUUGCGUAAUACCGUUUUAAGUUUUACAUUUUAAGAUUCGUAAAGAGUCUAAGUUAUGUUUGUUUUUAUGUUAUGUGCUCUAUGUCGCUCUCUCUCUUUUGUUGCUGAGAAUUCAUGUACUGAUGUCGAUAACGUAUAGACCAGUUUUGUUUGGAUUAUUUUUCACACCCAGAUUAUAAGCGGAAGAAAGUUUCAACCCUCUAGGCUUCUUGCAGGUUCUUUGGAAGCUUGCCUUAAGAUCGAUCUCUCUCUGCUCCCCACUCCUACGAAUUUUUCAAUGUUCGAUUAUUGUUACAAGCAAAAACAAUGUAUAUGCUUAUUAUAUAUAUGUUGAUAAAAAAAUAUGCUUAUUAUA